GAUUAACGCUAGCGGCAGGCCUAAUACAUGCAAGUCGAGGGGCAGCAGGGUGUAGCAAUACAUCGCUGGCGACCGGCGCACGGGUGCGUAACACGUAUGCAACCUACCUUUAACUGGGGAACUAGCCCUCCGAAAGGAGGAUUAACACCGCAUAACAUCACGAGACGGCAUCGCCUUGUGAUCAAACCUCCGGGGGUUAAAGAUGGGCAUGCGUCCGAUUAGCUAGUUGGCGGGGUAACGGCCCACCAAGGCGACGAUCGGUAGGGGGUCUGAGAGGAUGAUCCCCCACACUGGUACUGAGACACGGCCCAGACUCCUACGGGAGGCAGCAGUGGGGAAUCUUAGACAAUGGGCGCAAGCCUGAUCUAGCCAUGCCGCGUGAGCGAUGAAGGCCUUAGGGUUUAAAGCUCUUUCAGUGGGGAAGAUAAUGACUGUACCCACAGAAGAAGCCCCGG
rnacentral:rRNA from 1 species